AGGCCUAAGCUACAGGAGGCCACAGAGCCCCAUCAGCCCGUCCAUAUAAGGGAAGUUAGUUCGCAGCAAGCUUAGUAUGGCGCAAUAGGUAUUCCCUUCAGGUCUUCCUCCACCAGAAAUGGAUGGCGAGGCUGUUGAGUUUGAGAGGUCCACGCGGAUAAAGCGACAGCUUAAACGUGAACUUCAUGCUGGGGACAUUCAUCAGACUGUCAGGGGAACGGCGAAGGAGACGGAACCUCGCUUGUCACAGGGCCGGACAUCGGAAUUGCCUAGGCCUACAGCGGAUUCAUCACGUCCCACGGCUGUUGUAUUGAUUGC
rnacentral:lncRNA from 1 species